rnacentral:tRNA from 1 species
GCAAGCGUAGCUCAGUUGGUAGAGCGCCCGCCUGAUACGCGGAUGGUCGAAGGUUCGACUCCUUCCGCUUGCACCA